UCCAGACUCCUACGGGAGGCAGCAGUGAGGAAUAUUGGUCAAUGGGCGAGAGCCUGAACCAGCCAAGUCGCGUGAAGGAUGACGGCCCUACGGGUUGUAAACUUCUUUUGUCAGGGAGCAAUUGGGUCCACGCGUGGGCUUAGCGAGAGUACCUGAAGAAAAAGCAUCGGCUAACUCCGUGCCAGCAGCCGCGGUAAUACGGAGGAUGCGAGCGUUAUCCGGAUUUAUUGGGUUUAAAGGGUGCGUAGGCGGAAUAUCAAGUCAGCGGUAAAAAUUCGGGGCUCAACCCCGUCGUGCCGUUGAAACUGGCAGACUUGAGUUGGCGAGAAGUACGCGGAAUGCGCGGUGUAGCGGUGAAAUGCAUAGAUAUCGCGCAGAACUCCGAUUGCGAAGGCAGCAUACCGGCGCUCAACUGACGCUGAAGCACGAAGGCGUGGGUAUCGAACAGGAUUAGAUACCCGGGUAA
rnacentral:rRNA from 1 species